GCCUCUGCAUUUGGCUUCCAUGAAUUUACACUCCAUCAUCAUCUCUUCCACUUUAUUGUGCCCUACAACCACGGUCGAUGCCUGCGACUUCUUUCACGGUCGCCAUUGCCGUCGCCAUGUUCAAGGACCUCUCUACAAAAUUGCCGAAUGGGCGAAAGAUCAAAGAGAUACAACCGUUGGUUUUUCUGCUACGAGCAAAGAAGCGGGAAAACGGAGAAGAAGAACGAAGAGGAGAGACGGGGAUAGAGGCGAUUUCAGUCAGAAAUAUGGCGCAGGAGUAUCUGGGGGACUUCGGAACCCUAGCCACUGUUGCCCAUGUUUUCUUGGGAUACACUUCUAUAGUUUCCUGUGUUUCCAAGUCGGGUGAGAUCCUUCUCUAAUCGUUCAAUCUUCCAUCUCCACUUACAGGCUUCCUUUUCUAUUUGGUUUUUUCUCUGCUAGACAUAGAUCAAGUCAACCAAUGGCUUACUGCUUGUGUGAAAGAUCGAGCUUGAGCGGAACUUGCUGCGAGCUGCUUGGUUUGGAAACAAUCUUAAGAUACACAUUAUGACAUGUAUGCAGUAUCCGUCUCAUAAAUUGUGAACCCAAGGACCGAAAUUUGCAGGGAGUUGUCAUGGGGAAGGCCAUAGAAUGCCUCAGGCCAAGGAUCAGAAAAAAUGGAGAAAGAAGAGCUGAGAAAAGACAAGAUAGUGGAGAUGGGUGCCAUUUUUUUUCCAAAGUGCUGCAAGUUAAUGCAGUUGUUUCACUUAUUCUUUAUACUUCUCUGGAGUGGGCGAGUUUAUAUAGAGCUGAAGGAGAUUGAAGCUCACUGAAAUAUCUAGUUAUAAACCUUAAUGAUGAGUUACUUUCACUAAACCUCUGGGUCCUAUGCCCUGACCCAGAAAGCAGGAGGAAUAAUAUUUUGUUUUUGGAAGGAGUUUGAUAUAAUGCACUUAUGCAGGCGUGUCUUAGAAUUCCAAACUCAAGUGAAGCAUAGUCGUGGUUGCUUGUACUUGAAUAUUUUGGGAUUAUUGGGGAGAAAAGAAAAAGAAGAAUCACAACAAACAAGAAAGGAAAAAAGAAGACUGGGAAUGGGACCAGUCAUGUCAUAGAUAUUUGGACUCCUGUAGUUCGUUGUUGAGUGAAAGGCUAAAUAAAUAAUCAAAUGUCGGAAGCUGGCUGUGGAAUGAUGAGCCAGUUGAAGGGAAUCUGAGGACACCAACUCCUAGGCAUCAUUGAGAGAGCGGCCUGCACUUCUUGGGGGGAGGUUUAUUUGUUUGUGGUGUAAUGGUGGAGCAAAUUCUAUCCUAGCAAGGUAAAGGCAUUUCUUGAAAAUCUGAAUUGGUUUUAUUUUUUCUCAAGUUUUUGUGGACAGUUUCCAAAGCACAUUGUCGUCUGUUAGACCAGGGUGGGACCUUGUUCUCUUUUGUGUUUGUUAUUCGAUAGUAGUUAAAGAGUAUGCUGGAACUUGACCAAAAUUAAUUGAACCGAAAGUUACAUAAAUGUUCUAAAUAUGCAGUCUAUAGUUGUUAGACAACGCUAUUCUGUUACUCUGGUGAAUUAGAACUGCUUGGGCUCUACCAAAACUGAGAGAGGGAGGAUAAUGAGAGAUGGCCCAAGUAAAGCAGUGUGUAAAAGGGGUCGUUAUGAGUAUCACAUUCCUUACAUAAUGUGUGAAAGUUACAGUCACCAAUUUUUUGAGCAAUUAAUUACCCCCAAGACAUCAAAUUCGUUGAAUGGCUCUCAUCAUAAAUUAGAAUGCUCUUCUUGUUAACUAUUUCCCUUACUUUGUCCUUUUCUUUUCCCGUUGCUGGACAAAAUUAGAUCAAGCAACAUAUAUGCUUAAAUAAAUUGAAAAACAAAAACAUCUUGAUUGCAUGCUUUUGAUCAACACCUGGAAGCAAAUUUCAUACCAGGAAAAACGGACUAUAUCAUAAAAAUAGAACUCUAAAUGUUUGAGCUGAUUAUAUUUACAUUACAAUCCUUGCAUCUCUAAUGUUGGAAGUUUUGGUAACAUGGUCCAAUUCUGGGGGAGCAAAUGAUUUUUGUUUUUUUAACUAGGUUUUGAACUUCAGUACAUCAAUCACCAUUGCAGUUGAAAGUUUUUCGUCACAAAUUCUUAACAGAAGAAAUCUAUGAAAAUACUAUUACAUAUCUGCAACAGUCUUCAUCUUCAACAGAAAAGGUUAAAGAUGUCAUGCAGAUUGCAGACUGAACUUGAGCAGAUCUUGCUGCAAACUUUGAAGAAGACGAACAGUUUGAUUCGCAGACAAUCUUGUCAAUGCAAAUUAUAACACGACUGCAGGCUGUGUGUGGAAAGUAGCAUACCCGAGGAGCAACAACUGCGCCGAGUUAUCAAGAGGGUGACCAUAGAAUGCUUCAGGCCAA